rnacentral:rRNA from 1 species
GACGAACGCUGGCGGCGUGCUUAACACAUGCAAGUCGAACGGAAAGGCCCUGCUUUUGUUGGGUGCUCGAGUGGCGAACGGGUGAGUAACACGUGAGUAACCUGCCCUUGACUUUGGGAUAACUUCAGGAAACUGGGGCUAAUACCGGAUAGGAGCUCCUGCUGCAUGGUGGGGGUUGGAAAGUUUCGGCGGUUGGGGAUGGACUCGCGGCUUAUCAGCUUGUUGGUGGGGUAGUGGCUUACCAAGGCUUUGACGGGUAGCCGGCCUGAGAGGGGGACCGGCCACAUUGGGACUGAGAUACGGCCCAGACUCCUACGUGAGGCAGCAGUGGGGAAUAUUGCACAAUGGGCGGAAGCCUGAUGCAGCAACGCCGCGUGCGGGAUGACGGCCUUCGGGUUGUAAACCGCUUUCGCCUGUGACGAAGCGGGAGUGACGGUAAUGGGUAAAGAAGCACCGGCUAACUACGUG